ACUCAAAGGAAUAGACGGGGGCCCGCACAAGCGGUGGAGCAUGUGGUUCAAUUCGAAGCAACGCGCAGAACCUUACCAGCUCUUGACAUGUCCCGUAUGGGUUCCAGAGAUGGGACCCUUCAGUUCGGCUGGCGGGAACACAGGUGCUGCAUGGCUGUCGUCAGCUCGUGUCGUGAGAUGUUGGGUUAAGUCCCGCAACGAGCGCAACCCUCGGCCUUAGUUGCCAUCAUUUAGUUGGGCACUCUAAGGCGACUGCCGGUGAUAAGCCGGAGGAAGGUGGGGAUGACGUCAAGUCCUCAUGGCCCUUACGGGCUGGGCUACACACGUGCUACAAUGGCGGUGACAGAGGGACGCAAAAGGGCAACCUUUCGCAAAUCUCGAAAAACCGUCUCAGUUCGGAUUGGGGUCUGCAACUCGACCCCAUGAAGUUGGAAUCGCUAGUAAUCGCGGAUCAGCACGCCGCGGUGAAUACGUUCCCGGGCCUUGUACACACCGCCCGU
rnacentral:rRNA from 1 species